rnacentral:rRNA from 1 species
GACGAACGCUGGCGGCGUGCCUAAUACAUGCAAGUAGAACGCUGAAGGAGGAGCUUGCUUCUCUGGAUGAGUUGCGAACGGGUGAGUAACGCGUAGGUAACCUGCUUGGUAGCGGGGGAUAACUAUUGGAAACGAUAGCUAAUACCGCAUAAGAGUAGAUGUUGCAUGACAUUUGCUUAAAAGGUGCAAUUGCAUCACUACCAGAUGGACCUGCGUUGUAUUAGCUAGUUGGUGGGGUAACGGCUCACCAAGGCGACGAUACAUAGCCGACCUGAGAGGGUGAUCGGCCACACUGGGACUGAGACACGGCCCAGACUCCUACGGGAGGCAGCAGUAGGGAAUCUUCGGCAAUGGACGGAAGUCUGACCGAGCAACGCCGCGUGAGUGAAGAAGGGUUUCGGAUCGUAAAGCUCUGUUGUAAGAGAAGAACGAGUGUGAGAGUGGAAAGUUCACACUGUGACGGUAUCUUACCAGAAAGGGACGGCUAACUACGUG